rnacentral:rRNA from 1 species
GACGAACGCUGGCGGCGUGCCUAAUGCAUGCAAGUCGCACGGGUCUCCUUCGGGAGGUCAGUGGCGAACGGCUGAGGAACACGUGGGUACCUAUCCUUCAGUGGUGGACAACACAGCGAAAGCGGUGCUAAUCCCGCAUACGCUCUGCGGAGGAAAGCGUGGCAACACGCGCUGAAGACUGGCCCUGCGGCCCAUCAGGUAGUUGGCGGGGUAACGGCCCACCAAGCCCGUGACGGGUCGCUGGUCUGUGAGGACGACCAGCCAGACUGGGACUGAGAUACGGCCCAGACUCCUACGGGAGGCAGCAGCAAGGAAUUUUCGGCAAUGGGCGCAAGCCUGACCGAGCAACGCCGCGUGCGGGAUGAAGGCCUUCGGGUUGUAAACCGCUUUUGGGGGGGAAGAAAAAGACGGUACCCCCAGAAUCAGCCCCGGCUAACUCUGUG